GCCCCGCCGUAAACUUAGAUAUAUUAAUACAAUAAAUAUCCGCCUGGGGACUACGAGCGCCAGCUUAAAACCCAAAGGACUUGGCGGUGCUUCAGACCCCCCUAGAGGAGCCUGUUCUAGAACCGAUAACCCCCGUUCAACCUCACCACUCCUUGCCCCUCCCGCCUAUAUACCACCGUCGCCAGCUUACCCUGUGAAGGUAAUACAGUAAGCAGAAUGAGCACUCCUCAGAACGUCAGGUCGAGGUGUAGCGUACGAAGUGGGAAGAAAUGGGCUACAUUAUCUGAAACAGAUUAUUCACGGAAGGCCCUCUGAAACCGGAGGCCCGAAGGUGGAUUUAGCAGUAAAGAGGGAAUAGAGAGCCCUCUUGAAGCCGGCUCUGAAGCGCGC
rnacentral:rRNA from 1 species